AGCGCAGGCGGGAGAACAAGUUGGAAGUGAAAUCCAUGGGCUCAACCCAUGAACUGCUUUCAAAACUGUUUUUCUUUGAGUAGUGCAGAGGUAGGCGGAAUUCCCGGUGUAGCGGUGGAAUGCGUAGAUAUCGGGAGGAACACCAGUGGCGAAGGCGGCCUACUGGGCGCCAACUGACGCUGAGGCUCGAAAGUGUGGGUAGCAAAC
rnacentral:rRNA from 1 species